GAUAAGGUUCUUCAUUGAUGUUUACUCUUGGAGCAUGAGAAUUUUGGAGCAUCCUUUGAGAGCAUCUGAGCCAUGAAAGUUCUCUACUGAAGAAACACUGACUGCUGGAAAAAAGGAGCUGGAUAUGAAGAAUCCUGGCUCCAGUUUGGCAGUCACUUAUUUAAUGGACAGCUGAGAGGAAUCAUAGCCAACCUACGUUCUGAUGUUGCCACAGAAAACAAUCAGAUAAACAAAGACCUGAAAUACUGAAUGGAUAAUCCAUCAACUACAACCAAGGGCAUAAUGCUUUUCAAAGUAAUUUCACAAUCCAGGUAAUAUUUAAGAGUUUGCUCUGAAACUGUAAACCCCCACAGUAAGGAGAGAAGCACUGCCAACUUCUGCAAGAGGUGUCAUCUCCUGCCCAAGACAAGGCCCAUAGACACCAGAAAAGCCAUUAGGGAACAUCAGAGGACAGAAGACUGUUGCUUGCUCCCCCCACACCCAUGAAGAGGAGACAUGAAGGUGGCCUUAUCCCAUCAGCUUGAACUCUGGGGGAAGGGAAUAAAAAUCCCUGACAAGAAGGAACUGUGUGUUUAUGCUACUUGGACCCUGA